rnacentral:lncRNA from 1 species
GCAGAAGCACUUAUUAGAAACAGCUCCUAAGCAGCUUAUUAGAAGCUGCUUAUUUGACACUUAUUAGAAGCUGCCAAGGUUAAAAAUAAACCAAAGCACAGAGCAUCAUCCCACAGCAUGAACUGAACAGCACAGACACAGUGAUAGCAUACCCCUAACUGCAAAGCCACAUCCAAACCCACCAAACUAAUCAGCUUUUCAUCUACAAUCAAUCAGUCCUAAGGACUAAAUAAUAAGAUACAAGCCUAAUAAAAUUAAAUUGAUCUUUACAAACACAAGUUGCUGGGACUCAGUGAUACAAAACAAAACAAAAAAAAACAAACUAAAACUGAUUAAAAAGGAAAUAUAAACCAGUUAAUUGAUGCAUAUGUGCCAAUUCUUCCCCCUGAGAAGAAAGGAGCACAUGGUCUAUAGCUGUCAUGCUGACACAGCUUAAGACUUCAUUUUUUACCUCUGAAGUUUUUAGCUUUGUGACAGACUGACCACAUAAGGCAAAUUUAACUGUGUGAGUACCUAGGCUAGACCUAUUCAAAAAGUUAAAAUAAUACGUGAAUCCCUGCUUAUCCUCCCCCCAGCCCAUUUUGCAGCAGAAGUAACAUAAAUAAGGAUUCCAAGUCUUAAUUAAGUGCACCACGGAAAGCUGAGAAAAUGCAGCUUUUCUGUUCACCCAUCCCAGACACAUGAGUGCUUGUUAUGGACCACUAAAAGUGCCUUAGGCUUUUCAGGGUGAAGAGAUGGUGGAAAGGUUUGUUUGUUAUGCCAUCUCCUAAUCACAAGAUAGAAUAGUGGCAAUUGCAGGCGGCACUGUGAGGGACAAGAACAUGCUGUCUGGUGCUCUGGCACGAUCUGCCCUGCUUUAAUAACUAGAUGUGCUGGGGACAACAGAGUAGAGAGAGCAAAAGGGAGUUGAGCUGCCCUUAAGUGGUCUGAAACACAACAGUGAGAAUGAAGUCACCCAGUGCCACACAAAUAGAUAUUGCAUUAUCAAUUGCAAUAUUCUUUGUAUGCAUGUCUUUUUUUAAAAAAAAUCUUGGCCUGAUUUAUAGCAUCAUAAAUGUAUGCAAUUCUGAGUGCAAGCAUGACAGAAAAUGCAACAAUAAGAUAAAUAUGCUAAAUAUAGGCCCCCACUUCUAAACAAAGCAAGCUACGCAGUAACACCAUCCCUUUCUUUAGUACAUGAGAGACUUAUAUGCAAUUUAAAAGGUGAAGAAUAAGCAUAAUAUGAUGGCAACUCAUUAAAGUGACAUGUUGUCACAGAACCUGCUUUAUUGCUGGUAGACUCUCUUGCUGUUAAUUACUAUAACUUUGUAGGUAAAUUGAGUAAACCUUUUAAUUUCCUAAGUUAAAAUUCCAUCAUUGAGGAAUAUAAAUUUCUAGAUAUGCAUGCAAAUUUUCCCUACUAUUAAAUAAGUCAAUGCUAUAGUAACAUAAUUAGGCAGCUUAGAGUUAAUGGUUCCCACAAAGCUGUCUUAAUAAAGCCUUUUGGGAUUCAGGAGGGAAAGGAGGAAAUUCAGAAACUAAGAACAAGGCUACAAGGCAACAACAUGUUUCAACUGGCUCUAGUUACUCAAUCACACUUAAGCUGUCUGAGACAGCAGGGUGAGUGCCAUGCAUUACAGAGGCACAAGGGAAAUUUGUUUUCCCAAUGCAAUAAAAUAUUUCCAAAUUUCAAGCCCAGGAAUCAUUUUAAAACUGAAAUUAUAAGAAUAGCUAUCUAAUGAACCAAUUAAAGUUACAGCAAUAAUAAAUAAAAUUAAAACAGCAUAAAGAAAGAUAAUAGAGGGAUCCGUUAGUAAGGCAAAUCUGAAAGUAACUCUAUAUAGGCAUGUUAAAAAUGCUGUAAAAAAAGUAUGAAAAAGUUCAUCCAUUGCUUGCAGAUAAAAACCACUAUGGAAAAAUGAGCUGGGGAGGGUGUGGGCGUACAAGUCCAUAAUGCCGGAACCAGGUAUUAGUCACCAACUUACACAAUGAUGGGGAAGUAAAUAUUAAAAAAAAAAAAAAA